rnacentral:rRNA from 1 species
UCCCCGCACCAGUGAGAAUGCCCUUAACAUCAACCCAGAUCAAGAGGAGCAGACAUUAAGUACACUUCCCAGUAGCUCAAAAUGUCUUGCUCAACCACACCCCCAAGGGAUACAGCAGUGAUAAAAAUUUAGCAAUGAACGUAAGUUUGACUAAGUUAUACUACUUCAGGGUUGGUAAAUCUCGUGCCAGCCACCGCGGUCAUACGAUUAACCCAAAUUAAUAAACACCCGGCGUAAAGCGUGAUUUAAAAUCAAAUAACAACUAAGCUGUAAAAAGUAAUAGUUGUAAACAAAAAUAAACUACGAAAGUGAUUUUAUAACAUUCGAACUCACGAUAGCUAAGACCCAAACUGGGAUUAGAUACCCCACUAUGCUUAGCCCUAAACCUAAAUAAUUUAUAACAAAAUUGUUCGCCAGAGAACUACAAGCCAGAGCUUAAAACUCAAAGGACUUGGCGGUGCUUUACACCCACCUAGAGGAGCCUGUUCUAUAAUCGAUAAACCCCGAUAAACCUUACCACUCUUUGCCAAUUCAGCCUAUAUACCGCCAUCUUCAGCGAACCCUAAAAAGGAACAAAAGUAAGCUUAAUUAUUCUCAUAAAAACGUUAGGUCAAGGUGUAGCCUAUAGAGUGGAAAGUAAUGGGCUACAUUUUCUAUAUUAGAACAUACGAAAGCCCUUAUGAAAUCUUAGGGCCAAAGGAGGAUUU